AUGAAGACUUCUACUUCUGGCUCUAAUGUUGUGCCCCCAAUAACAAGAGUCGUCACCGACUUUUCUUUUAUCCAACAAAGGAAAGGGUGA